rnacentral:tRNA from 1 species
GGGCCAUUAGCUCAGUAGGUAGAGCACCGGACUUUUAAUCCGGGUGUCCGGGGUUCGAAUCCCCGAUGGCUCACCA